rnacentral:rRNA from 1 species
UACGAAGGGGGCUAGCGUUGCUCGGAAUCACUGGGCGUAAAGGGUGCGUAGGCGGGUUUUAAGUCAGAGGUGAAAUCCUGGAGCUCAACUCCAGAACUGCCUUUGAUACUGAAAGUCUUGAGUAUGGGAGAGGUGAGUGGAACUGCGAGUGUAGAGGUGAAAUUCGUAGAUAUUCGCAAGAACACCAGUGGCGAAGGCGGCUCACUGGCCCGGUACUGACGCUGAGGUGCGAAAGCGUGGGUAGCAAACAGG